UAUUAACUCCUCGUUAUCCGUUAUCCUCGGUGUCCGUGAUGUGAAUUCAACCUCACCACACACUAUAAUUUCCUAUGCUUUCUAUUUCCAUCAUUUACGUUGUGUUGUAUUGAUUAAACUUACGUCAGUGUAGCUACCUUAAAAUUACAUCCUAUUACAUACCUUGAAACUGCACCAUGUUAUAAGUGAAGCAAGAGUCAAGUUGAGGGCAUAGGUUAUUGCUGCUCAUGGCCCCAGUGCCCAUCUCCGUUACAUACCAUAAUGCGUAACAUCAGCCCAUAUUACGUAUUGUGGGAUUCUGCCGUCAUCUGGCUUCCCAUUACGUCACAUCUUAGCUCAAAAGGAUGUUGUAUUAUCUAUCUGUCUUUCAUCACCUGUAAUGCCCAUAGGUAUUUUUCCUCUUUGAAUAGUCUCAUAAUAUUUCCUAUCCUGGCAUUCCCUCAGCAAAUUUAAUCCCUCUCCUGCAAACUCAUUAUUACUCAUUCACUGUAUUGAUCCAUAUCACUGGUAGUCAUCCCCUGAUAGUUAUAAGAUGCAAAAUUAAUCCAUAUUACAUAACUUGGGAUCCUGUCGUGUUAUCUGGGUUCUCAUUGCGUCAUGUCUUAGCUCAGAAGGAUGUCGUGUUAUCCGUCUAUCUGUCUUUCAAUAUCUCUGACGCCCUGGUCUGUCAUAGGUAUUUUCCCUCACACCAGAAAAGUCUCUAAUCAUUCCUGUCCCGGCAUUCCCUCGGCAAACUCACUCCCUCUCCUGCAAACUCCUCACUCAUCCACUGUAUUAAUCCAUUUCUCAGGUAGUCUGCCUCCCUGUUAGUCCAUCUCCCCAUCAUGUUAUAAGGUGCAGAAUCAAUCCUUAUGACGUAACGUGGGACCAUGUUCUGUAAUCUGGCUUCUCACUGCGUCAUGUAUUACCUCAGUAGGAUGUCGUGUUAUCUAUCUAUCUGUCUUUCUGUAUCUCUGACAUUUUGGACCUGUCAUGGUAUUAUCCCUCCGCUGAAAAGUCUCGUAAUUUUUCCUGUCCCGGCAUAUCCUGUCCACAUAUUCAGUAGAACCAACCACAAGGGCACAGCUAGAUACAGUACAGGUUUACAGACAGGCAGGUGGAUAGAUUAGGUAAGAGACGAAGAGAGAGAGAAAUAGGUGUAGCACGAGUCCUCUAUGCUACAGUUAGAGGCAGACACAGGGAUGGAGACAAGAACACAGACAAACACACAGAGAAACAGAUAACCACACACUCAGGCAGAGACAUAAGUAGGGUGACGAGUCCUUUAUGCUACAAUUUGAUAGAGAAAAGCCAGCAGAGACGAGACUAGUCACACACAUUGAGACACAGACAGACAGGGAUGGCCAGACAGACCUAAUUUCCCACACUUGAGAAAGAGGUGAAUGUGUAGUUUGUGGCCUAACCAUUGGGCUCGGAAUAGCAGCGUGUAAACAGUCAUUUGAAAGGCGGAAAAGUUUACGAGUGUCUGUGUCUGGGAGGAAAAAGUGUGUGUCUAUUACUCUCUCCUCUCUUCUCUCUUUCUUUGUGCUUUCUGAGUCUGUAUUCUUAUUCACUUACAAACCAUCCCCCGGCAUCUUCUCUGGCCCCCUUUCCCCCUCACCCUAAUCCCUGGAGUGUGAAAGGUGUGAGAGAAUGGGGACAAAAACGUGAAUAAGUUACAAAAUACGAGCGAAGAAGGCAAGGGAUUCUCCAUCACAAGAGACUAGCGUUAACUUGAAGAAACUAAAUCAAAGCCUCGCUGAAUGUUCCUCCAAAACAAUAAAAAUUAAAUGAGAAAAUGGGUAGUAUAGGAUUUUUAGUGUAGUACAUAUAGUUAAGUGUUCUUGAUAUUCAUUCAUACUUUGCUUCCCACCUUUCCCCUUGAGUUGUGGAAGGAUGGGAACAAAUAGGUGGAUAAGCAAGGCAAUGAAAGGUGGAAAAAGUUGGAAAGUUUCGUUUAGUCGGCGCAACAUCUGUGGUCAUAUGCCGGAGAGAGACAGAAGGGGAAGGAAUUAUAGGAGAAGGGAACAGAUCACAGGAGAUGGGACACAACCACUGAUUGAUACCUGGUACCCACUCACUGCUGGGUGGACAAGGGCGUAGGGUAUUGGAAAAGCCGCCCAAAUUUUUCCACUCUGCCCGGGAAUCGAACCCAGGCUCUCUUGGUUGUGAGGUGAGUGUGCUAACCACUGCGCCACGAAGCCCCCUACUCUCAAGAUGGGGAAUAGUGGAGGGAGAAAAUAAGAGAGUGGAUGACUGACUGACUGCCUUCUCAAGCUAAAGGAAGGGAGACUAUUUUCAAGGUGUGAGGUACAGAUGAAGGAACAAAUAAUGCUCAGAACAAACAUCAACACCCUGGGAUACCACUGAUUAUGAUGAUUAUAAAAAGGACCAACCUGAAAACUGAGAAGUAACUAUCGUCAAACCAUUUCAAAUAGUCCAUUGAGGUGUUGGCAUCUGCGGGUCCUUUCCUGUCCUAUGCUCUACCACAUGGUCCCAACACCUAUUUUUCCCUCUCAUAUGUUACCUAUAGCCACCGUUGCCAAAUUGCCGUACUCAAAGCCUCGUAUUUACUGGUUUCCGGGACAUAACUAUUGCCAAAAAACACCAAUAAUUAACCAUUUUAACGAUAACUAUAUAUGACGGGAGUUAUUAGGGUCGAGGAGACAGUUUUGGGGUCAGAAAUCGGCAAACUUAGGAGGCCUAUAGCUAACAUAUGAGACAGUUUUGGGGUCAGAAAUCGGCAAACUUAGGUGGCCUAUAGCUAACAUAUGAGAGGAAGGCAUAGGUGUUAGGAUUGUGUGGCAGAGUAGAGGAUAGGAAAGGACCCAUGGAAGACAAAACCUCAACGGACUGUUUGCAAUGGUUUGACUUGAGGUGGGAGAGUGGUAGGAAGCGUUUCAUCAACCAUCUAACCUCAUAGGAAAUCAAUGGAAAAUCUGAUGUUAGAGAAAAGGCGAUGAUGAUAAAGGUAGAGGCCAUUCCAUAGUAAACAAUGGCAGAGAGGACUCCCACCCAAGACCCAAGGAGGAGGAGAGUACUUGGAAGCAUUUCAUCAACCAUCUAACCUCAUAGGAAAUUAAUGGAAAAUCUGAUUCUUGAGCAACAUUCAGUGAGGCUUUGAUAUAGUUUCUUUAAGUUUACGUUAGUCUCCCCCGUGCUGGAGAAUCCCUCGCCUCAGCGUCAGACUUCCUGCCGUGAGAGCUGGGCUGAUGGGGGUGAUAAGACACGCCCCGGAGCUUGGUGACGAGCAGACCCAAUGUUGCAGGGCUGUGUUGGAGGCUAGGACAGGAUGCCGAGGGAUGGUGUUUUGAGAUGCUGGGUUGUGGAAUGAAGUAAAUAUAUUGUUUUUUAAGGUUUUCCGCAGUUAGGAUAAGAUGCUCGAGGGAUGUUUGUGAUGUAUGGUUGUGAUGUGAAGUUAAUGUUGGGUUUAUAAAAUUUAAUGAGGCUAGGGAAAGAUACUGAGGGAUUACUUAAAGACGGUUAGUUGUGAAAAGAAGUAAAUAGGAAAUAAAUGAUUUAAAGAAGUAAAUAAAAAAAGAUAUGUAUUGGCUGUAUAAUACUAUCUUAGAUUAGGACAAAAGGUAAAGUUGGGGGGUGUAGCAGUGCAUGGCCUCGGUGCUCAUCUCCGUAACAUUGGCCCUUGAGCCUGUGAACCCAUUACCCCGGGACACAGGGCCAGUGUGACAAGAUGCUGAGGUAUUUAGUUUGAAAUGAUGUUUGGCUCUGAAAAGAAGUAAGCAUUGGUUUUAUAAGAUUUCUGCAGUUAAGAUGCUGUGAUAUUUGGCUAUGAGAAAAAAGUUAUAUAUUGGUUUUAAAAGAUGAUCUGAGGGUAUGACCAGACACUAAGGGACUAUUCUGAGAUGUACAGUUUUGAAAUUAAGCAAAGAUCAAUUGUACUCACUAAGGAACUAUUCUGAGAUGUACAGUUUUGAAAUUAAGCAAAGAUCAAUUGUACUCACUAAGGAACUAUUCUGAGAUGUACAGUUUUGAAAUUAAGCAAAGAUUGGUUUUAAAAGAUGUUUACAUAUGAAAAUAAAAAAAUGUUGGUUUAAUAUGAUGGCAAGAUAAUAAUGUUUAAUAAUAAGAUAAUCAGGAUGGACAUAAUGUUUAAUAAGAUAAUAGUUAUGACAAGAUCUUGAGGAGAAGCUUCAUGAUAUGCAGUUGAGAAAUUAAGCCAAGAUAAGUUAUAUAACACACACACACACACACACACACACACACACACACACACAGAGCAGCAGCCUAUAAUCCCCGAGAGUGAUGUGUGUGCAUGUGUGUGUGUGUGUGUGUGUUGCUGGGCCAUUGAAUAGGGCGGAGCGCAUUCCACCAUGACGGACAGGCCACACAAUAACCCUACGUGGCGGACAGACACUCGGAAUAAAUAAAUGAAUAGAGAAAUAAACAGAAUAAUCAAAUAAAAAAACUAGGAAAAAUAGAGAAAGUUGUUAUUACUAAAGAUAGAAUGAAAUAUUAGAUUACUAUUCAUAACAAAGGUCAAAAUGAGGCUGCCAGGAGUUUGCAAGAGGCGAGUCACUCUACGCUGGGGAACUUUUUAUUUUUUUAUUUAUUUAUUUAUUUUUUUCAGUAGUAACUUCUCAAGGGUAAAAAAAAAAAAAAGCGUACUGUAAUCUUAACCCAGUAGCAGCGGGGAUCAUGUUUCUUAAUGGUCCCUCUAAGCGAGAAAAAUGAGAAAAAAUCAUCACUUUCUCAAACUAUUUCAUAAUAUAUACCAAAGCAUUUGUGAUCAGUUUAUGCAUCAUCUAUUUUUGGGGGUUUAUAUCAUGGCGCAAAUUUGGCCCGUUGCUGCUACAUGGUAAAGCCACAAAUUUGGCCCAUCGCUGCUACACGGUAAAGCCACAAAUUUGGCCCAUCGCUGCUAUAUGGUAAAGCCACAAAUUUGGCCUGUCGCUGCUACAUGGUAAAGCCACAAAUUUGGCCUGUCGCUGCUACACGGUAAAGCCACAAAUUUGUCCCAUCGCUGCUACAUGGUAAAGCCACAAAUUUGGCCCGUCGCUGCUACAUGGUAAAGCCACAAAUUUGGCCCGUCGCUGCUACACGGUAAAGCCACAAAUUUGUCCCGUCGCUGCUACACGGUAAAGCCACAAAUUUGGCCCAUUGCUGCUACACGGUAAAGCCACAAAUGAGAGAAUUAGGCAAAAAGAACAAGGAAGGAAAAGAUGAUAGGAAAGAAAUAGACCAAGAGGAAGAGAGAGAAGGAAAGUAGAAAAAAAGA